AUUGAACGCUGGCGGCAGGCCUAACACAUGCAAGUCGAGCGGAUGAAGGGAGCUUGCUCCUGGAUUCAGCGGCGGACGGGUGAGUAAUGCCUAGGAAUCUGCCUGGUAGUGGGGGAUAACGUCCGGACACGGGCGCUAAUACCGCAUACGUCCUGAGGGAGAAAGUGGGGGAUCUUCGGACCUCACGCUAUCAGAUGAGCCUAGGUCGGAUUAGCUAGUUGGUGGGGUAAAGGCCUACCAAGGCGACGAUCCGUAACUGGUCUGAGAGGAUGAUCAGGGACACUGGAACUGAGACACGGUCCAGACUCCUACGGGAGGCAGCAGUGGGGAAUAUUGGACAAUGGGCGAAAGCCUGAUCCAGCCAUGCCGCGUGUGUGAAGAAGGUCUUCGGAUUGUAAAGCACUUUAAGUUGGGAGGAAGGGCAGUAAGUUAAUAUCUUGCUGUUUUGACGAUACCAACAGAAUAAGCACCGGCUAACUUCGUG
rnacentral:rRNA from 1 species